rnacentral:rRNA from 1 species
UGAACGCUGGCGGCAUGCCUUACACAUGCAAGUCGAACGGCAGCACGGACUUCGGUCUGGUGGCGAGUGGCGAACGGGUGAGUAAUAUAUCGGAACAUACCCAGUAGUGGGGGAUAACUAUCCGAAAGGAUAGCUAAUACCGCAUACGAUCUGUGGAUGAAAGCAGGGGAUCUUCGGACCUUGUGCUAUUGGAAUGGCCGAUAUCUGAUUAGCUAGUUGGUAGGGUAAAAGCCUACCAAGGCGACGAUCAGUAGCUGGUCUGAGAGGACGACCAGCCACACUGGAACUGAGACACGGUCCAGACUCCUACGGGAGGCAGCAGUGGGGAAUUUUGGACAAUGGGGGCAACCCUGAUCCAGCAAUGCCGCGUGAGUGAAGAAGGCCCUCGGGUUGUAAAGCUCUUUUGUCAGGGAAGAAACGGAGUUCUCUAAUAUAGGAUUCUAAUGACGGUACCUGAAGAAUAAGCACCGGCUAACUACGUGCCAGCAGCCGCGGUAAUACGUAGGGUGCAAGCGUUAAUCGGAAUUACUGGGCGUAAAGCGUGCGCAGGCGGUUUUGUAAGUCUGAUGUGAAAUCCCCGGGCUCAACCUGGGAACUGCAUUGGAGACUGCAAGGCUAGAGUGUGUCAGAGGGGGGUAGAAUUCCACGUGUAGCAGUGAAAUGCGUAGAGAUGUGGAGGAAUACCGAUGGCGAAG